AGAACAAUGAGGCCCUUGAAGCCUGGGAUCCUCGCUUCCUCCUGUUAUCCCGGAGCAGGCGAGGGAGUCUGCGCGCGGAGGGGACCCCGGGACCUACGCAGGGCCAGCGGUGGGGGAGGGCCCGGCCUGCAGGGUGUCGCCGAGCCGCCCCGGGGAAGCCCGGCAGCCAAAUCACAGGUUGGGAUCCGCCGGUGAUGCCGAGCUGAUCCAAGGAGAUGGCUCUCUGGCUCCAGGAUUGUAUCUGCUAAUUCCAGGGAGCAGCCUGCUGGGGCGAGACCUGACACGUUUUGACGCUCAGCAGCACAACUUACCCAACUCUCUGGCUUUGUGCCGUCCCUACCAGCUUCAGGGCUGGGACUGUGGUCCACUCCCCUGCCUGGCACCCCUUGCUGACCUUGGAUGCUGACAGGCCACAGAAGAAUUCACAAAGAGAUUUGUGCAAAGAGAAAACACAUAUCCCGGAUGGCUCAAAUCACCCGCCCUUAGUGGGUGGAGAGGAAGGUGAAGCCAGAACUCCUCCAUUGGUGAUAGUCUCUCACAUGUCCCUGAGCCUCUGUGGGCUCAUCUGGAAAGUGGGGGUGAUGGUGCAAACUUCACAGAUAUUGGGUGGAGAUCCAGAGAAGAUUGAGAAAGAAGGGAUUUUGCAGACUGUAAGUCACACGAGGGUCUGUGAUGUUGGUCAAGAGGCUUCUCCUUGUGCUUCAUGGACUUCCUCCCUUGAAUCUAUGGCUGCUUCCUCCCUUCUUGGCUCUGACCAUAGGACCUAGCAGCCUCUGUCGUUAUGCAGAUUCUCCUUGGACUCUCGGUCCUCUCAUCUGGGGGAAGAAGUAGGUAAAACUUCCAACUGAAGAAACGGGCAGCAGCUGGCCUCGCAUAGAUAGAUGGGGCACCCAGCAAUGGAGCCCUCAGGAAGGACAGAGCACCUCCAACUCAUGGACUACAGAUUACAGUCUUUCCAAGGGUAUUUGAUGACAGAGGAAAAAAAUGAUCAACUUCUCAAAAUGACUGCAAAUCAAAGUUAAUUGAUGUUUAAUUGAAUAUGUGCAUAAUGUAAUAUCAUGUCAACUUGUUAAAUGGAGCUCACCCCAGCUCCUCUGAAGUUAUAUGUAAAUGAUAUUUGAAACAGGAUAUGGAUGCAUUUUGAUGUGUUUAUUGUGACGUGGUAUGGUACGCUAGACUGGGAGGGAAGGAGGCUGUGGAGAUUUCUAAGUAGAUCUGUAGGAAUAAAAUGGAGGUGGGGGACGCAGCUCACAGUAACUAAGCUUGCCCUCCCAAUGUCCUUGGGGAAUCUGAGCACUUUCAGCACCCACAGAUGAGCUAACCUCUAGAGAAAGCAUUGAGUUAAUAUUCUGGAAUCUUCUAGGACAAUCUGGUAAAUCUUUGCAGUAGUUUAGUAUGUCCUCUAGGAUUGGGAUUUAGGUCAGAUGAGCCUUGUAAGUGUAGCCCAGAGAAGAGGAAACAACUCCUCUCCCCUCCCCAUCUUAUUUCUUCUUUACCUUCUUUCCCCUCUCUUCCUUCACUGGUGCUAGGUGUCUGGUGAAGAAGGGCCUUUUGGCUGCAUCACAACAUGAUAGAGGGCAAUGUGGUCAGACAGAGCAAGCUCUGUAGCAUGGAUCUCCCCUCUUUCUAUUACAAAGCUGCUGCAUGUCCUGGAGUCCCUGCCUUUGCUUUCAUCUCGUUUUAAUUAUCUCUCGAAGACCUUUCCUCCAAAUAUCAUGAACACGUGAAUUUAGGAAUUGUGUUUCUAAGGCGUGAACUUUUGGGGGACACAAUCAAACUCAUUGCGCCAGAGAAGUCACUGACACUUGGAGGAAUAGUUGUUAUAGGGCAUCGUCUACAAUGCGGAGUUUUAAAGAAGAGGAGGCUGAGGUUUGUUCCUGAGGUGCAGUGUAGGUGUUCCUAGCGCUGUAAAUGGGGAGCGAGGGAAUUGCAGUUCUCAUAGAGAACUAUGGGAAUUGUGCUCCCUCUCCCUAAACUCUGAUCUAAGGUCAAAUGCUCUAGAAGUUUCAUGGAGCCCAGUGCAUACCUCUGGGAACCUUUGACAUGAGAGGAUAAUGUUAUAGGUCUGUGUCAAGCCCGGAGUCACAGCUUGGAGACAACUUUGGAGGUUCCUGAAUGUGUCUGUUGUUCUUAGGGACAUCUGAGACCCCAAAGUCUAUCCCUCCCAAUCCUGACCUUGUAGAAAGCUGGAAGUUACUGCCAUUGGCCAUAUUUCUCCCAACAGGAUAGGGACUGGGAACAUACAAGCAGGCCCCAUUUCUGAGGCAGGUCCAUGAUGUAGCUUUAGAACCCAACUCAGUCCUUUAUGGGAGUUGAAGAGGCUGCUGCCAUGGAGGAGGGCAGCUCUGGGCAGAAAACUGUCUGUGCUCUGGGUACUGGGGGCAGUUCCUAGUGUGCCAGGGAAGGCCAAGAGACCAUGAGCUCUCCCCUUUUUACAUUGUUGCUCUUGCAGCUAUGUAUGUAUGUAUGUAUGUAUGUAUGUAUGUAUGUAUGUAUGUAUAUAUUAUGUAUAUACAAAUAAAUAGAUCUCUUAUUAUGUCUAGCUUU
rnacentral:lncRNA from 1 species